GAGGGGAGGUUGAACCAAUAGGAGCUGCUAACUCUUAUAUCUGAGUCUAAAACCUCAGCCCCCUUA
rnacentral:tRNA from 1 species